rnacentral:SRP_RNA from 1 species
GCCAGGCAUGGUGGUGCAUGCCUGUAAUCCCAGCUACUUGGGAGGCUGAGGCAGGAGAAUUGCUUGAACCCAGGAGGUGGAGUUUGCAGUGAGCUGAGAUCGCACCACUGCACUCCAGCUUGGGCAACAGAGCAAGAUUCCGUCUCAA